rnacentral:rRNA from 1 species
GAUGAACGCUGGCGGCGUGCCUAAUACAUGCAAGUCGAGCGAACGGACGAGAAGCUUGCUUCUCUGAUGUUAGCGGCGGACGGGUGAGUAACACGUGGAUAACCUACCUAUAAGACUGGGAUAACUUCGGGAAACCGGAGCUAAUACCGGAUGAUAUUUUGAACCGCAUGGUUCAAAAGUGAAAGACGGUCUUGCUGUCACUUAUAGAUGGAUCCGCGCUGCAUUAGCUAGUUGGUAAGGUAACGGCUUACCAAGGCAACGAUGCAUAGCCGACCUGAGAGGGGGAUCGGCCACACUGGAAUGGAGACCCGCCCAAGACUCCUACGGGGGGAGGCAGAAGGGAAUCUUCGGAAAUGGGGGAAAGCCUGACGGAGCACCGCCGGGGGAGGGAUGAAGGUCUCGGGAUCGUAAACUUCUGUUAUUAGGGAAGAACAUAUGUGUAAGUAACUGUGCACAUCUUGACGGUAACUAAUCAGAAAGCCACGGCUAACUACGUG